rnacentral:snRNA from 1 species
AUACUCACUUUGGCAGCACAUAUACUAAAUUUAGAACAAUACAGAAAAGAUUAGUGUAGGCCCUGUGCAAGGAUGACUCACAAAUUCAUGAAGUGUUCCAUAUUUUC